AAAUUUACAGGCAUUACCCGACCGACCAAAUUUCCUACUUGUCGGAGUGGAAGUUGAAAAUCUCAUCCCAAAGUUGGAUUUAUCCUCCUGAUACGAAAGAAAGUAAAACAGUCGACUGCCCUCUCAAGAAUAGCCUUAUGAUUUUGUAUUUUCUGUGUUAAUUCGAUCAACUUGUCAACUUCAUCAACUUGUUGUUUAUUUACGUUUGCUAUUAAAGUGAGGUUAAAUGUUUAUCGUUCGACGAACACAUGUAGCCAAGACUGGACCCACAUUGACGAGUACGUUUUUUAAGUUCCUGUAUUGAAAUCGUGAUUUUCUGCCGAAAAUAAUUUCCACAUAGUUGCGAUACUAUCCCACAAGAAAAAAACCACUAAUUACUCAUUCCUCCGCUCAGCGUUUGUGCAUUCAGUUGGGUUCAACAAUGGAAUGAGGACAAAAUGAAAUGCUGGCAAUACAUAUUUUUCGUGCCUACUUUGAGCUCUUACCUAUAUUUUCCACUGUCAAGCUUCGGGUACUCGGUAUAAUACAUUUUGUACUACCUAAAAGAACACCUAAAGCAACCAGCAUCACACCAAUAAGGAGAGAGAGUGAAGACACAGUAUUUUGGAUACUCACAAAACAUUGAUGGAAUGCGAUGUUCUAAAACCAUCAUCUUUCUAUGUUAGUGAUGAAGAGAGAUUGUGCAGCAAGUGCCAAAUCAUCAACCGUUGAUCAUAUCAUACUCUAGAAGUGCCCGACAGGUUCUAAUAUUCUUGGCCAUACUAUUUCUUGAAGCCACCAAAUCAUGACUAGCACAUCGCUUCAAGAUGCUCUUUCGUAUUUCAUCCUGAAUAUUAACGGAAUAUGACAUCAUCAUUUGAUCAAUCCUUAUAUUUUGUUCUCUGCUAGUUCAAGACUACGUCAUUAUAUGAUCAAAUGACCCCCUUCUGAAAACUAAAAAUUUGUGGAGAAUUUCCUUCAUUUCAGCAUAUCUGUUCCUCACGACAAAGAUUUGAAGUUAGACUUGCAAUAUUUCAGUUGCUCCGUCCGAAUAAUUCUCCAUUGUUAGAGAGAAAACUACUUUUAUUGGUAGCUUUUUUGUCUACCGUUGACACACCAUCCAUUCAUUGAUACAUAAAAAUUUGCAUUACUGGUACACAACAA